rnacentral:rRNA from 1 species
GGAAUUUUGGACAAUGGGGGAAACCCUGAUCCAGCCAUUCCGCGUGUGUGAAGAAGGCCUUCGGGUUGUAAAGCACUUUUGGCGGGAAAGAAACGGCGUCGACUAAUACUCGGCGUAACUGACGGUACCCGCAGAAUAAGCACCGGCUAACUACGUGCCAGCAGCCGCGGUAAUACGUAGGGUGCAAGCGUUAAUCGGAAUUACUGGCGUAAAGCGUGCGCAGGCGGUUCGGAAAGAAAGAUGUGAAAUCCCAGGGCUCAACCUUGGAACUGCAUUUUUAACUACCGGACUAGAGUAUGUCAGAGGGGGGUGGAAUUCCACGUGUAGCAGUGAAAUGCGUAGAUAUGUGGAGGAACACCGAUGGCGAAGGCAGCCCCCUGGGAUAAUACUGACGCUCAUGCACGAAAGCGUGGGGAGCAAACAGGAUUAGAUACCCUAG